UACGGAGGGUGCAAGCGUUGUUCGGAAUUAUUGGGCGUAAAGCGCGUGUAGGCGGGAAGACAGGUCAGUUGUGAAAUCCCUUGGCCUAACCAAGGAACUGCAUCUGAAACCUUUUUCCUCGAGUACGAUAGGGGAGGGCGGAAUUCCCAGUGUAGAGGUGAAAUUCAUAGAUAUUGGGAGGAACACCAGUGGCGAAGGCGACCCUCUGGAUCGAUACUGACGCUGAGACGCGAAAGCGUGGGUAGCAAACAGG
rnacentral:rRNA from 1 species